rnacentral:lncRNA from 1 species
ACACAGACUUAAAAGACACAACAAUUAAAAACCUGCAACCCUAAAGUCAUUUACUGCUGGGACAAACAGUCCUUAUGUAUGGAUUACAGCUAUUGAUUUUGGUGAAGGUAAUUAUGAAGUAUGUAGAUCAAUCUGGGACAUCAUGGAAAUAAAGGAAUAUUGGCAAAUAUGUAUUUAUGAAUAGAUGUCACUCAAGCUCAGUGAAAUUGACUGAAGUAAUAGCUUGGAUAUGAAAAAGAGCAAUUUUCUGAAGAAACAUCUAUUGUUUAGCAGUCCAAAGUAUGAAGGGAACUACCACUACAUAUAUUUCCUGGAGAAAAAGGUUCCUAGAAUCUCCUCAUUUCUUCUACAACCCUUCGGGUGCCAAAGAAUUGAAUCUGCAGCUCUCACCUAGGACCCUGACAAUUUCCAUGGCAAUCUUGGCUGCCCAGGAUUUCUCAGCUGCUCUCAGACUCCACCAGAGCAAGGGACACUCUGUGAGGCAGCUGUGGGCCAGUCUUUGCUGACACAGCACCCAGACUUUCACCUCCGAAGUCUGUGUCUCCCAGGGAUCUGGGUUCCCCUCUUUACAUUCUUCAGUCCUGUUUGGGAGUUUAGCAUUUCUUCACCAAGCUUCUUUUUGCAAGGGACCCACAAGUUCUACAGGAAUCUUGUUUCUCUCAGACCCUCUCUUCCUAGCCCAGCAGAGGAUCUCAACUGGAUCCCAGAAUGGGAAGGCGUUUCUGACUCGUCAUGCAUUCCUCCAAAUCUAUGGUUUACGCUUAUGAUAGAGGCAGGAGGCAUCCAAGCGUUCCCGGCGAAACCUCGCCUUCAAGCCUAAACCAGCCUGAAGGCUGAAAAACCGGACAGCUGGUCCCAGAUGAAGCCCGCCCUUUCCUGAUUCUGAAUAACGCCCUCCUGCGCGCUGGUAGGACGGGGCGGAAGUUCACGCCAUUUGCAGCGGGGAGGAGCCUGUUCUUGUGUGGCGACCUGGGCUUCGAUCUGUGAGGCGGGAAACCUGCUGGCAGGACUCUUGCUUUGGUGAGAGUUUUUUCUUUUUCCUUUUCCCCCAAUACAUUCCGUUUUCCUCACCCUUCUGUGUGUCCGCAAGCCUAACCUUUCCUGGUCAUGUGACAAGAGCCGGUUUUAGCUGAACUAAGGGGAAAGUUCUGCAACGUUUAGACAUCUCUUUUGAAACACAAUAACCUUUAAGAUAACAAAAAAAUGUUAAAUAGCAAUUUGCUAAACAUCAGGAAAGACAUAGAAGUCAAAAAAUGAAAGCUUUUAAAGACAAAAGUCAUAUCAGAUACAAUUAAAAAUAUUCAGAAAAUUUGGAACCAAGUUCAUAUUCAGGAACAUGGCAUACAUUUUGUAGGGACUCACUCAAAGUAGAGAAAAAAAAAAAAGAUAUAAAAAUGCUUACUACUAGUUCUUUCUCCCAAACCCAAUUGCAGAAAUGCCAUAGAAGUAACAGGAAAGUGUAUGGAUUUGAGCAUUUAACAUUAAAAAUUGGGAUGGUUCUGAGGAGACAAACUGCUUGUGUCCUCACACGGGAGAAAACAGUAGCUGUGGUAGGAGAGGCACCAGGAUCUAAGGAUAAAGGGAAGGAGUUAGAGAGCUAGGUUUUCUUUCCAUUUCCAGUCUUCCAUUAUUCCUUCCAUUAUUUGAAGACCUACGCUUGUCCCUCCACUAGUGGAUUUUUUUUUAGAAAGCCAAACAAAAGCAAACAUUAAAACCAAAAAUCCUGGCCGGGCCUGGGGGCUCACGCCUGUAAUCCCAGCACUAUGGGAGGCUGGGGUGGGCAGAUCACCUGAGGUCAGGAGUUCAAGACCAGCCUGGCCAACAUGGCGAAACUCUAUCUCUACUAAAAAUACAAAAAUUAGCUGGGCAUGGUGGUGCAUGCCUGUAAUCCCAGCUACUCCAGAGGCUGAGGCAGGAGAAUCUCUUGAACCCGGGAGGAUGAGGCUGCAGUGAGCUGAGAUUGUGCCACUGUACUCCAGCCUGGGCAACAGAGCGAGACUCCGUCUCAAAAAAUAAAAAUAAAAAAAGAAAAGCAACAACAACAGAAAACCCCAAAUCCCCAUCAGUUCUAUCCCAGUGCAGCCAGGAUCCACAGCAACCUCGGGGCCAUGCUGGUGCUCACUGUGGUGAGGAACCGGUAGACAGCAAAUUGGGGCUGGUAUUGGGUAUUUUGUCACUCCACCCCACACCCCACUUCCCAUUUGAGGGCUAGUAAAUUAAAAUCAACAGAGGAACCUCACGUAGCGGACAGGGAGUAGGAGCUGUGCACAUAAUGAUGGGCAGAGUCAGGCUGUAGCGCCAGUGUCUUCCACUUUGGGGCAUGCCCCCGUCUUGUUUAAGCAUAUUAAGAGAGCCAUGAUAACCAGGGAUGAGAGUUUGACUCUGUCUCCCAUUUCAUAUUACCAACCAGGGAAAUAUGAGCUCACAGGAAACAUUACAAAAAAGGUAUGGAUAGACAUAUACCUUUUAAAAUUAUUGUCCAGCCUUAAAAAAAAAAAUAAAGCUAAUAUUAUUCAUCCUUAAAAAAAAUCCUGAAAUAUGCUGCAUAGAUGAACCUUGAAGAUGUUAUGCUAAAUAAAGUAAGCCAGUCAUAGAAGAACAAAUACUGCAUGAUUCCACUUAUGUGAGGUAUCUAAAACAGUCAAACAUGUAGAAUCAGAGAGUGGAAUGGUGAUUGCCAGGUUGUGCGAGUGGGAAACGGGAAGUUACUAAUCAACAGGUAUACAGUUUCAGUUUCAAUUAUGCAAGAUGAGUAAGUUCUGGAGAUCUGCUGAUCAGCACUGUACCUAGGGUCAGCAGUACUGUAUUUACACACUUAAAGAUUUGUUAAGAGAGUACAUCUCAUGUUAAGUGUUUUUACCAUAAUAAUAAUAAUUUUAAGAAAGACUGCCAAGUGAAUAAGCUAUACCAUAUGCAAUGAAAUUCAUGGCCUUAAUAAGUCAAGCAUUCAUUACUAAUUUAUAUUUUCAGAAAGAUAUAGAAGAAUAUUGAUUGAAUUAAAAAAGCAGAAUCAAGUGGAAAAAUUGGGUGAGGAAAAUAUGGCUAUUGAAAUAAGAACUCCAUAAAUGAAUGUAUCACAAUAUGGCUGAACAAUUAGUUUGCUAUAAGAUCAGGUUAAGAAACUCCUUCAAAAGCAUCAAAAUGUAAUACAAAUAUUAGAAAUAUAAAAGAGAAAACAAGUGAUAUAGAGGAUGGAAUGGAAGUGACACCAUGCAAAUCAAAGGUGCCCCUAGAAAGGAAAAAAAUAAAUAACUGGAAGAAAAGAAAUGUUUGUAAAAAGCAUAAACAAAAAUUUGAUUGAAUUUCAGGUUGAGAGAAAUCACUGGGUGCUGAACAGGUUAGAAGAUAAAACAAACAAAAGAACACCUGAAACAUUAUCGACAUUAAGUACAUAAAAAGCUAACAGAAAAUUCUAGUUUCCACUGGGAAGUAUCAUAUCACUUAAAAAAGAAUAAGAAUCAGAAUGGUGGUUUCCAGCUUCACCCAUGUCCCUACGAAGGACAUGAACUCAUCCUUUUUUAUGGCUGCAUAGUAUUCCAUGGUGGAUAGCAUUAGGAGAUAUACCUAAUGUAAAUGACGAGUUAAUGGGUGCAGCACACCAACAUGGCACAUGUAUACAUGUGUAACAAACCUGCAUGUAGUGCACAUGUACCCUAGAACUUAAAGUAUAAUGAUAAUAAUAAAAAGAAUAAGGAUCAUGCUGACAUUAGCCUUCUUAAUGACAAUACUGGAUGCAAGAUAAUGGAGUUGUCCAGCUAAAAAAAGUUAUAUUUUUGAUAUAUUUAUGUAAACAAUUAUAAGUAUUAGGAUGUAAUAAAGAUAUUCUCAGGUGUACAUGACCUCAGGCUUAC